GAAACUGAUCAUAUAACGUCUUGGCACAGCAUGAGACUCUUGAUCUCAGGGCCGUGGGUUCGAGCCCCACGUUGGGCA